ACUAUACUUCCAACUGUCCCUGAGCAACCAAUCUUUGGUAAACCUUAGAUUGUCGUCAACAAUUUCUUAAUCCUUUUAGUUAUAUCCAAUGCUAGACCUUUUCCCUUCUUAAUGCCCCAGGCAUUUGGAAAAUUUUAGAAAGGAUGAAUAUACAACAUGUAAUCGAUCCUAUAUCCGAAGCAUAUGGGACACGAUUCAUGAUGUCUCACAUAAAGACUAAACCAGUCUUUUGCUAUAAUAUUUCCAUUUCAAUUUGCCAAGUUCUCAUAAUUCAGAUUAUGAAAAGGGAUGUCGUAAUCAUAAUCGAAUUUUAGAACGCAAAUAAUGGACCCAUAUAUAGAAUUUUCUUAUGUUGAACCAUUCCAACAUAUCAUUCAUAUAUAUANCAAUCUUUGGUAAACCUUAGAUUGUCCUCGACAAUUGUUUAAUCCUUUUAGUCAUAUCCAGUUCUAAACCUUUUCCCUUCUUAAUGCCCCAGGCAUUUGGAAAAUUUUAGAACGGAUGAAUAUAGCACAUGUAAUCGAUCCUAUAUCCGAAGCAUAUGGGACACGAUUCAUGAUGUCUUACAUAAAGACUAAACCAGUCUUUUGCUAUAAUAUUUCCAUUUCAAUUUGCCAAGUUCUCAUAAUUCAGAUUAUGAAAAGGGAUGCCGUAAUCAUAAUCGAAUUUUAGAACGCAAAUAAUGGACCCAUAUACAAAAUUUCCUUAUGUUGAGCCAUUCCAACAUGAAAUUCAUAUAUAUCCUUGACU
rnacentral:lncRNA from 1 species